GCCAAAAAUAAUCAUUUCCGUAUCUGAAGUGAAUUGUUCCGCAUCUGAUACUGUUAUGUAGUCGGUUUUGUAUCUGAACUGUAUGCAUGCGGAUCAGUAACUAUUCUGUAUUUUCAAAUUGUAUCUGAAGCAGAUUUCAGCCAAUUACUGUACUGUUAGUUUUUUAUUGAUACACAAGUGUACAACGGAGAACAGUAUCUGAUGUGUUAAGAGAUUAUGUAUCAGACCAGAAGCUUAAAAUAGAGCACAUGAGAGAGCACAUGUAGUAUAAUAAAACAAAGCAAAAUGUCUUCCCCAGAUAGCCAGCUCCUACAGUCGAUAUUAGAUGAGUUAAAAAGUGAGUGUAUAAGUUACAGCAUGAUUAUACAUAAUUAUAUAGACUUUUUUUAUAGACUUUUUCCUCAUUGACAUGACUUGUAUAAUAAUAUAGCUGUUCAGUACCUUAUAGAUCUACUUUAUACAAUGCACCAUUGUCCAGCAAUCAUAUAUCAAUAUCUGAAGGAGAGAGAAAAGUUUGGCUUGCUCUUUCAAAGGUAUUCAGAAUUGCCUACUGUGUACCAUUCACCGAGGAUAAAGUACACGACUAUGACCAGAUAUGUCAGCACUUUGUGGCCACCGUAAAAGAAAACAUGCCUGAAAUGCUGAAAAAACAAUAAGUUCACCUGCUACUCCAUCUUCCGGAAAGUAUGAAAGAGUUUGGUCCCCCAUCAUCUUUUAACACAGAAAGGUGUGAGGCUUUCAACUCAAAGAUGAGAAACUACAAUGUAUACUCUAAUAAAGCUGCGUCAAGUAGAGACAUUGCUCUCAGCUUUGCCGUGUUGGAAGACAUCAGGCUUGUGUGUGACGGGGAACGACACUCAGUUUUGGCAGGAGCGUUGGGUUAGGACUGGUACACAUGUACCAUUCAAAUGCGGUCCAAAAGUUUCUGAAUGGAGCAACACCACCCAAACACAAGGCGAUAUACCAGCCAGGAGCACUCAGAAUGAAACAAGUACAGCCUGCAUCUCUCUCGAGUGUUGAGCUUAAGGUGGGUGGAGAGGUGAUGACCCUGGGAAGCCUUCCCACUGACCUGUCUGUGGAUCUUCUUGAGACCUUCAACCUGCGGGAUGAUGUCCAAAGAUAUGGAGGUGUUGUGUCACAAGCUGGCCAACUUGUUCACUGUGGGCAAUCUGUUAAAUUGGCCACCACAGACAACAUGUCACAGUAUGGUAUACUGGUGGCAAAUGUACUCAGACUAGCAUCCCAUUCAUCUAUGUGCCUGGUCCAGAAAUUUGAGGGCAUCGUCUUGAAUGGACAACCAAUUGUCAACGAGUAUGACUGCCCACUGUUGACCCUAACGGAUACGAUUACUGGAGUCUACCCUGUUGACAUUUUACUUGAAACGUCAAUAGUACAUGAAUGUACAGACACUUGUGAAUUUGUCAGUAACGGACCGCUCAAUGUCCUACAAGUCGAACGAGAGACAAUUCCAACAAACAGAUUUGUAUACAUGCACGACUGGACGAAUAAAUUGUAUUGUUUCAAUGUAUACUGCAUGACGCAGUAGCUUUCAUGUUGUUACUAUCACUUUUGUGCUUUCAAUUCUAUUGCUAAUUUGUUGUCUGUACUAUCACUUUGCCUUUAAAAUAAUGACAA